GGCUCAGAUUGAACGCGGGCGGCAUGCUUUACACAUGCAAGUCGAACGGCAGCACGGACUUCGGUCUGGUGGCGAGUGGCGAACGGGUGAGUAAUAUAUCGGAACAUGUCCGGAAGUGGGGGAUAACGUACCGAAAGGUACGCUAAUACCGCAUAUGCCCUGAGGGGGAAAGGGGGGGAUCGUAAGACCUCUCGCUUUCGGAGUGGCCGAUAUCGGAUUAGCUAGUAGGUGAGGUAAAGGCUCACCUAGGCGACGAUCCGUAGCUGGUCUGAGAGGACGACCAGCCACACUGGGACUGAGACACGGCCCAGACUCCUACGGGAGGCAGCAGUGGGGAAUUUUGGACAAUGGGCGAAAGCCUGAUCCAGCCAUGCCGCGUGAGUGAAGAAGGCCUUCGGGUUGUAAAGCUCUCUCAGACGGAAAGAAAUCGCACUUAUUAAUACUAAGUGUGGAUGACGGUACCGUAAGAAGAAGCACCGGCUAACUACGUGCCGGCAGCCGCGGUAAUACGUAGGGUGCGAGCGUUAAUCGGAAUUACUGGGCGUAAAGCGUGCGCAGGCGGCUUUGUAAGACAGAUGUGAAAUCCCCGGGCUUAACCUGGGAACUGCAUUUGUGACUGCAAGGCUAGAGUGUAGCAGAGGGGGGUAGAAUUCCACGUGUAGCAGUGAAAUGCGUAGAGAUGUGGAGGAAUACCGAUGGCGAAGGCAGCCCCCUGGGCUAACACUGACGCUCAUGCACGAAAGCGUGGGGAGCAAACAGGAUUAGAUACCCUGGUAGUCCACGCCCUAAACGAUGUCAACUAGGUGUUGGGGAAGGAGACUUCUUUAGUACCGCAGCUAACGCGUGAAGUUGACCGCCUGGGGAGU
rnacentral:rRNA from 1 species